UGGAGCAUUCCUAUUCCUGACAAAGCAACGACACCACAAUGUUUGUCUUAAAUUGCUCAUUUUAUGAUUUUGGAGACAAGAAUUCUAAAACAUUUCUAAGUUGCAUAAUAUUAAGUUCUGAGAGGGUUGCAUCCCUUCUAAUGGACAAUCCUUUUCAUUAUGUUCUUCAGAGUUUACAAGUCUUCUGUGGUCUUUGAUUUGUGACUGGAUCCUUUCCUUUCCUUUGUCAACAAUACUAGGAGAACCCUUUUUAUACUCUAUUGCCAUUUUCCUCUCUCUGGUUUGUUUUCUUCUGUCUACUCAGCCGUUAUCAUCUACCUUUCUGAUUUUAAUGCACCUGCUAGCACAACUUCUUUAACAUUUCUAUUAGUUAGCAACUAACUCUCAUGUAGAACCUUAGUGUGACUGGGACAUUCGUAGGUAUCAAGAACAAGGAAAUACUAUUACAUAUCCCUUAUAGUAACUAUGACAAGUGGGGUUGACAAAACUAGUGGAUUGACUAGAACAGAAUUUAUUAAAUCAUUUAUUUAGUUCUGUGACUGAGAUCACACACAUAUCUUUCAUUGGGCUAAAUUAAAUUCAUAGGAUGACAGUUAAUCAAAUUUUAUAAAUAUCUUUACUUGAAAAUGUCUAUUGCAAUGAAUCAUUGUUUUCGUUCAAGGCCUCUGGUUUCUACUACACUAGUCACACUAGUCCCUCACCCAGACUCCUCUUGGUUUCCCAUUGUUGCCCUGUGUCAUGCAGGCCCCACAGCUUUGGAUAAAAGGGUACACUGUGGCACAUGCUGUGACACACCACAGCUUCAACAAUGAGAUAUUUUCUGUGCUUUGUUUCUUAUGUUGUUUUAUUUUCAUUUACAGUUUUAAAUUUUCUAUUGUAGGGGACAUUGAUGGGGCAGACUGCAGGUAUGAAGCGAUGGGAAGAUGAGUGGGAUUGAGGUAUAUGAUAUGAAACUCACAUGGAUCAAUGAAAAGUAAAAAAAUAAUAUUAAUAUUAGUGGUUAUCCAAUAAUUAUUUGAAUUUCUUAUAAUAGUUAUAUUCAGAUUUAUGCUAUUUGUAGUUCUGUGGAUAAUCUUUUCUUGAAAAUAUAGCAUUUGGGAAUUUAGAAUCAUUUUAUUAUGAGACUUCUUAACACAAUCAAUGGGCCAUAAUAAUUACUGUCUUUACCACAAAAUCAUGUGUGAGAAUUAAGCCAUGGCCCUUAAGUAAGUCAGUGACAGAAGUCCAGAUCAAUAAAAACAAAGGCUUUCCUCUAUCCACCACUUAAACUGUAUUAAAUCACUUUUAUGACAUGGGAAGGUGAUAGUUUCAUAAUAAUUUGAAUCUGACAUAAUCCAAAAGAUUUAAUAAUAUAUAUUCUAUAUAGGUAGGUGUUUGCAUAGAUAUCAUUAAUGUCAGUGCUUGUAUUAUUUGUUUGAAAGACAUCUUUUAUACUAAAACUACACAUUUUCCUGAAGUGUAAUUAGGAUUAAGUUAGAAAAUACCAAAUAUAUUCAAUAAAAAGGAUCAGCAUAACCUUAGAUAAUUGAAACCAUUUUCCAUUAUGAAUUUCAAUUUAUGAAGGUAGAAAGAUACUUUGUAGGGAUAUAUUUCACUAGAACAAAAUUAAGGCUGUAACAGAACACAAUUAGAAUAUAAAAUAUUAACAGUGUUAGGAUCGUUAAUGAAAGGACUAUGGAAGACAGCACACAUAAUUCUUAAGACUCAAGGAGAACGAUUUCAGUUUCACUGGUAAUUACUCAUAAGCUUUAUCUUAAGAAAACUUUUACAGUUUCAAAGAAAAAAAUGUAUAUCACUUUGGCAGAAACAUGAAAAACUCCUCAAUAUAAAACUUUUAGGUUAUGACUCAACUGACAAUAGGCUUGAGUUAUAAAAUAAAACUUUAAAUGACUGCAGUGAUUUUGAACCUGCUUUUGUCCUAUAUAGAUAAGAGUAAACCUUAAAUUUCAUUUUGCUAUUAAUGAACCACAGAGACUUCAGAAAGCAAUAUAGUGCCUAAUCACUUUCCACACCUAAUUGGCCUAAAAUAAACCAGCUAUCAAUUCUGUAUUUUUGCCAUCUUAUUUUAUGAUUAUAACACUGAACUAAAAUAGAUGAUAAAAUAGUUAGUUCAUGUUAUUGUUUGACAUGGUAUGGAUUAAAAACCUUUAUAUCUCUGACUUUUUGGUCUUCAUAGUUUUAGGCUAUUCAGUCAGUGUUUAGAUGUGACAGAGGCCAAUGCUUCUCCAGGGAUUCAAGCAAGUUGUUUAAGGUGGUUUCUGUGAAUGGUUUGAACCAAAAAUGAUGAAAAAGGCCAAUGUAAAUGUGAAAGUAGAAAUAUAGUUUGUUACUGUCUAAGAAACCGUUGUCAACUGGAUCAUUGUGUAGACCCUCCUAGCACUGAAACUUCUGAGUAAUUAAAUUGCUGCCAUUUUAAUGCCAUCACUGGGAAGUAAAGCCACAGUCAACUGAAUGGUUUUCUUGAUGUGGCACAGGAGGGAGAUGAUAAAGCUGAGGCUUGAUUCUCAAAUGUUUGAUUCCUGAGUCCAUACCCUUCUUGACAGUGCAUCAACCACAGUAGAAAUAGAAGCGGGAUCAUUCUACAGAUAGAACCUGUAAACCACAUCAAGUCAUUUAUGUGUCCUAGAUAUGAAGGGACAGGGGAAGAUCAAACAUCACACCUACUUUCUUGCACUAGCUUUCUUUGUACUAGGAAGUGCUCUGAAAUAGAAAUGAGAUCACCAUAUUUACUCGUCUGCAAAACCUAGAAGCUACAAGGAUCAGUCUGGAAAGACGUGGCCACUGGUGCAAUAGUUCCACCAACAUUAACGAAGUAAAUGAUCACGUGCUGAUUGGGUUCAAGUUCUCCAUCAACAUGAAACCCAGAAUUGUCACUAUUACUGGGGCCAAGAACCUACAAUGAGACAUCACAGGCCAGCAAAAACCUGCUAUUGCUGCUCAGGGCAUAGGAUGAAACCAACUCCUCGUGACAUAUUAUUACAGCACAGAUUCAUGAAUCUCUUAAAACUCAAGAACUCCGGCAGUUGUGACAUCAUAAGCAAGACACUUCAAACGUAGACCAGAUCAAACCCAGAGUGAAAAAGAGAGUUGAGCACCAAGUUCCAGCCCUAGCCUAAAAGCUAUGGAUAAUUCUCUGAUGUGAUUGUAAGAGUCAGCUUUUUUUCUGCCUGAAAGUGUAGUUCUUGAUAAGUCCACCAUACUAUAAUGGACAUCCACACACCUAAGACUAUAUGGACAGCACAAACUUGACUCGGUGGGCGAAGACAACAUUAAUGGGCACAAGUGGCAUGUGUAAGAAAGGGAAAGUGAUUCAGGAAGGUGCUGGAGGAGGAGGAGGAGGUAAAAACGUCCAGCAUACAUUGUAUGUGACUUUUCCAGGAUUGAGAAGUUAGCAGAAUGUACUUUCCUGCAGCCUAUGGGAGGAGAUCAAAGAAACAGAAGUAGACUGUAUAGUCUCCUGGAUAACCCUUGACAACAACAACUCUGGAGAAGGAUUUGUAUAUCUGGUAUUAAUAAAAGAAGGAAAAUCACCAAAAUUUAGUAACUAAACAAUUUUUGAAAAAGUCCUUAUAUAUUCUUGCAAAAAAAGAGGAAAAAAUGGGGUGACAAUGAUGACAUUCCCAGGAAAAAGGAAACAAUGGAAUUUUACAUUAAAUGAAAAUAAGGGAGACUCAGGAAGAUGGACCUCUCAAGUCAAUGAACACAGUAUGAAUUUUAAUGCGUGUGCACAUGCAUGUGUGUACUUUCACUAGAAAAUUGACCAUGAAAAGGAAAAGAGACCCUUAUGGGUGGGAUAAAAAGGAUAAGACAAAGAAAUAAACUAACAUGACCAGAAAACAAAAGUUGGAUUAUAAGGAAGAAAAACGGAAACUGAUUAAGAGGGGUAGCAGAAACACUUAAACAGCUUCCGUGUCUGUACUUAUCAAGAAAUGAAAACUUUGGGAUGCCACCCAGGGAAGGGAAUAAAAUCUGAAAAUAAAUAAAUAAAUAAAUAAAUAAAUAAAUAAAUAAAUAAAUAAAUCUGACAAAUUGGUAGAGAAUGUGCUGAAAGGGACUCUCACUACUGCAGCAGCUGCAAAACGUACAACUAUUUUAAAACUCAAUAUAAAGUUGCCUAAAAAAUUUAAAUUAUCGUAUGAGCGAGGUAUACCAUACUUAAGCAUUUACCAGAAGGACUCCGUGUCCUACCACAGAGAUAAUUACACAUAAUGUCCACAGACACAUUCUAUGCUAUUUAUUCUAGCAAGGUACUGGAUCAUCCUAGGUGUCUAUGAGCACAUGAAUGCGUAAUGAAAAGGUGGUAAUAUACAUAACUGAAUUUUAUUCCACAGGGAAAAAAAUCAACAAAAAGAGGAAAUUAUCAGGGAAAUGGAUGGAUCAGUAGCAUACAGCAUUAAUUAGUCAAAGAGAUUCAAACUCAAAAAGAUAAAAAAGAACAAACACAUUCUUACCCAUGUAUGUAUCUUCGCUUGUGAUUUAUACAUACACACACACACACACACACACACACACACACACACACACAUAUAUAACUGUGGGAAAACCUAUAUAUAUAAACGUGAGAUCAAGAGACCGGGGAAUUGGUUAUAGGGAGUAAUCCAGGUGAAAGGAGUUUGUUGGAUUAAAGGAACUAAAACAUAUUGCUCUAAAGAUACCAUUUUCUAACUCAUUAUACAGUAAUUUAAAUAAAAUUUAAAUUGAAAAGAAAUCUGGAAAGGGAACAAUUGGCAUGGUUAAAUAAACAUAAAGUCUGAGUGAAAAUUCUAUAAUGACAUCAAUUACCUUAUAUGUUAAUGUAUAAAAAAAAACCUAAAACAUAAAACUAAAAGGAUAUGUGGACUACCUCAAAUGAGUAGACAACCAUACAAAACAGUUAUCCUCUAAUUAUUUAGAGAAGGGGUAUAUUCUGAAACUUAUAAGCACUGUAAAAUGAGAAAGAGAACUGACAUUUAAUAUGUAAUUACCUAUUAACCAAAAUUUAAUGGGCACUCCAAAUAUUAAAAGUAAUGCAUUCCAGGUGUAUCUGAUCCUACAAUACUCCACACAUUGGUAUCAUGUCAAAGAAAACAAAAGGGGAAUGAAUGGUUAAACCCUAGACUUACCUCGAACACCCAACUAAAUGCUUAAUACUUUUCCUAUA
rnacentral:sRNA from 1 species